AGUCGAACGAUGAAGCUUUUAGCUUGCUAGAAGUGGAUUAGUGGCGCACGGGUGAGUAAGGUAUAGUUAAUCUGCCCUACACAAGAGGACAACAGUUGGAAACGACUGCUAAUACUCUAUACUCCUGCUUAACACAAGUUGAGUAGGGAAAGUUUUUCGGUGUAGGAUGAGACUAUAUAGUAUCAGCUAGUUGGUAAGGUAAUGGCUUACCAAGGCUAUGACGCUUAACUGGUCUGAGAGGAUGAUCAGUCACACUGGAACUGAGACACGGUCCAGACUCCUACGGGAGGCAGCAGUAGGGAAUAUUGCGCAAUGGGGGAAACCCUGACGCAGCAACGCCGCGUGGAGGAUGACACUUUUCGGAGCGUAAACUCCUUUUCUUAGGGAAGAAUUCUGACGGUACCUAAGGAAUAAGCACCGGCUAACUCCGUGCCAGCAGCCGCGGUAAUACGGAGGGUGCAAGCGUUACUCGGAAUCACUGGGCGUAAAGGGCGCGUAGGCGGAUUAUCAAGUCUCUUGUGAAAUCUAAUGGCUUAACCAUUAAACUGCUUGGGAAACUGAUAGUCUAGAGUGAGGGAGAGGCAGAUGGAAUUGGUGGUGUAGGGGUAAAAUCCGUAGAUAUCACCAAGANNNCCCAUUGCGAAGGCGAUCUGCUGGAACUCAACUGACGCUANNGCGCGAAAGCGUGGGGAGCAAACAGGAUUAGAUACCCUGGUAGUCCACGCCCUAAACGAUGUACACUAGUUGUUGGGAUGCUAGUCAUCUCAGUAAUGCAGCUAACGCAUUAAGUGUACCGCCUGGGGAGUACGGUCGCAAGAUUAAAACUCAAAGGAAUAGACGGGGACCCGCACAAGCGGUGGAGCAUGUGGUUUAAUUCGAAGAUACGCGAAGAACCUUACCUGGGCUUGAUAUCCUAAGAACCUUAUAGAGAUAUGAGGGUGCUAGCUUGCUAGAACUUAGAGACAGGUGCUGCACGGCUGUCGUCAGCUCGUGUCGUGAGAUGUUGGGUUAAGUCCCGCAACGAGCGCAACCCACGUAUUUAGUUGCUAACGGUUCGGCCGAGCACUCUAAAUAGACUGCCUUCGUAAGGAGGAGGAAGGUGUGGACGACGUCAAGUCAUCAUGGCCCUUAUGCCCAGGGCGACACACGUGCUACAAUGGCAUAUACAAUGAGACGCAAUACCGCGAGGUGGAGCAAAUCUAUAAAAUAUGUCCCAGUUCGGAUUGUUCUCUGCAACUCGAGAGCAUGAAGCCGGAAUCGCUAGUAAUCGUAGAUCAGCCAUGCUACGGUGAAUACGUUCCCGGGUCUUGUACUCACCGCCCGUCACACCAUGGGAGUUGAUUUCACUCGAAGCCGGAAUACUAA
rnacentral:rRNA from 1 species